rnacentral:misc_RNA from 1 species
UCCGGUUUGUCACCGGCAGUCUUGCAUGAGUCCCCGGCCGAACCGCUGGCAACAUGCGACAGGGGUUGCGCUCGUUGCGGGACUUAACCCAACAUCUCACGACACGAGCUGACGACAACCAUGCACCACCUGUAUAGGACGCCGAAGCACACCACAUCUCUGUGGUUUUUCCCUAUAUGUCAAGCCCUGGUAAGGUUCUUCGCGUUGCGUCGAAUUAAGCCACAUGCUCCGCCGCUUGUGCGGGCCCCCGCCAAUUCCUUUGAGUUUUAGCCUUGCGGCCGUACUCCCCAGGCGGGGCGUUUAAUGCGUUAGCUACGGCACGGAACCCGUGGAUAGGACCCCACACCUAGCGCCCACCGUUUACGGCGUGGACUAC